rnacentral:lncRNA from 1 species
UAGCUGUCAGACACACUAGAAGAGGGCGUCAGAUCUCAUUACAGGUGGUUGUAAGCCACCAUGUGGUUGCUGGGAUUUGAACUCAGAACCUUCAGAAGAGCAUUCAGUGCUCUUAACCGCUGAGCCAUCUCUCCAGCCCCACAUUUGUAUUUAAAACAUGAGUACUAGGCAUAGCAGGUAAGAGCACUGCUUGCUUUCUCAGAGAACAUAGGUUCAGUUCUCAGUGUGUACAUGGCAGCCCACAAUUGUCUAUAAUUCCACUCCCAGGGAAUCUCAAGCCUUGUUCUAGCCCCUGAGGGCAACAGGCACACAUGUGGUCCACAAACAUACACGCAAGCAAAUGACCCAUGCACGUAACAACUUCUUAAAAGCUGUGAGUACACACGGUGCCGUACAGCACCACACGUUUGUUCUCCUCCCCUCAUCCAGAACUUCUCUUUCCCAUACAGCCACAGUGUGUUUACGUCUGCAGUCCUAGACUGCAUCAGGCCACACAUUCUGGUAAACACCUAAGAGUGUCUGGGUACAGUGGAUGGUAAGACAUGGGGUACAUAGGGACUUUGGAGGUCUUAGUCUCAACUAUUGAAUCUUGCAAUUACUGCCUAAUUUACAUCUUCAGACAACUUUAACACCCUUGAGCAUCAAGUUUUCUUGUGUGUAAAUGGGGCUGAUUUUUCCUGUUUGAGUUGUGAUAGUUGUGGCACAGGCAGGGGAACCUCUUAUACAAUGGGCUUUCCCUUCUAACCCUCUCUGCUGUGUUUACAUAACUUGUUUUGCUUCCUUUACCUGGAUCUAUGGAAGGAGUUCUUGACUCUUCAUUUCCUACACCUAAUCCUUGGUUAAUUUGUCUCUAGUGACAGUCUUCAUUUUGAUUUUAUAUCAUCUUAAUAGUGGUAGGCUUUGUUCUGAGUGAGUGGGCUACAUGGAAGGCCUGCUACAUCAUGGUCUUCUGUGCUGCUUUUAUAUUUGUGAAAAUCAUUUUUUUCUCAAAACAGUGUGCUAUUUACUCUUAUCAGAAUUCUCACUCUUACAAAUCAGCCAUGGGUUCUCCCGUGCUUUUUCUUGCCAGAUAAAAUGACUGUCUUGUCGUUUGUAUUUCAGUGUUGUCCUUUUUCCAUCAGAUAGAGAACCAGUGUGUGCUGAGGGUUAGGGGGAUUGACUAUGAUGACUGACACCUUAGUCGUCACACUUGAGCUUAGGUGCUAGCCCUGGCUGCAUUGCAGUGCGAAAGUUUUGCUGUCAUGGGCAGUCGUAUUACACUGAAGUAGGGCUCUGAGUAGCCCCCAUCCGUCUGGUACAAACUUGCAUUUUGGGUUUCAGCUUGUUAGUGUUGGUGAUGGGAACUGACUGUGGGAGCGCAGGCUUGUGGGCUCCUUUACCCCAGGCUUUCUGCUCCAUUUGACUGUAGCUGCAGUGUGUGGUGCAGCUCCAACUGUAAUCUCCAGGUUCCUAUUCUGGGAAUUUUUCUUCCCUCUCACCUCCUAACCCGAUACAGUGGUAUAGGUGGAGAAGGGAGAGAUUUACUCUGUAAAAAGAGAAGGUCGUGGUGGUCCACACCUUAGAACCUAGCACUCUGGAGGCAGUGGUAGGAGGACCUCUGUGAGUUCAAGGCCAGCCUGGUCUACUAUCGAGUUCCAGGGUAGCUCGAGCUACAUAGUGAGACCCUGUC